rnacentral:lncRNA from 1 species
UUUAGGGCAAGACCUAGGUUUACUUUUGGUUUUAAGGGGUGCGACGACUAAUUCGACUUACGUAUCCCCUUACAGUUUCGACCUGAUUCCAUACCGAUUUAAAGUCCGCGAUAGGUUUUCGGCUUAUAUGACUUGUCUGGUUGGAAUCAAGCAUCUCUCCAAGGACAAUUUUUAAGUCUCCUGGAAGUGCUGACCAAAAUUUCAGAUUUCUUUUAUAGCGCUAUUAUCCUUGUGUCAGAUGUAUAAGAGUCAUCUUUGUGAGAUGGCUUAGUCUGUUUAUGACGUUGGGAGUUCGAUGUGAUCAGCAACGAACUUGGUGGUUGGAUCUUCGUGAAGAAUAUGUGUUUGAGAAGAUGCUAAUGCAUGUGAUAGUUCCAGGAUUUCGUUUAUGCGAUGUCUGGCGGGAAAUAGUUUCUUAGGCGUUUUUGCGACGUCUCG